AGCACAUUUCGUUUUUACACAUCAGACACAAUUAUGUAUGGGCUUCAAGUUUUUCUUUUAUUUAUAGUGGGCUUCAUUUUCUUUUCCACAAAAUCUAAAAAAACCAAAAUCAAUCCGACAACGCUGCUUAACUUGAAACGUCUCUCCCAGUUUCCAAGUGACUAAGUUACUUAUCGAUUCAAAUUCUCUCAGUAUGUGCUUUUAAAAGUUCAUCUUCCCCACCACCUCCUCAAUCAAUAAAGCUCUUCCUCUCAAUAUUGCAUUCCGAUCUCUGUAGGUAAUAUUGCAAAGUGAACAUGCCGUAGUAAAGCGGCUGCAAAGGUUCGUUUUCAUGUAAUCAUGGCCUUUCAGUUAUUCAAUUUUUUUCCUGAUCAGUAGUUUCUAGGGAUUAAACUUUUAACUUAUUUUUCGAUAAAGUAUUAAACUUUUAACUCCUCUGUACAAAAGUUCUUCAUCUGGAAACUGCGAAAUCUGUUACAGGUUAGAUGGGUAGAAUCCUUUGAUUGUUAUUGUGAUGUCGAAAGUAUUUGACAAUGGUUACGUGAACAUACUAAACCUGUUGCGCUUAUUCCCCUUUUUAAUUUGAUUAUGAUGGAUUUUUCUUGGUUUUCCAUUAUUUUUUCUAGCUCAAUUUUAUGUGUAAAUAUUGACGCUGUCUUUUUAUGAUCUAAAGUAAAGAUUCCCGUGAGACUUUCAAGAAAAAGCUUCCCAAGAACAAAUCUGUUGCUGCUGUGAGUGUCUCCUUCUCACCUUCAAAGUUAUUUUGUACCUUAGGUUCAUCUUCAAAGGCAUACUAACUUUAAAUUUGUAUGGAUAAACAAGUUUGAAAAGCUUCUGGAGACAAGUAGAAAUUCCUACAGAUGUUGUAUGUACUUUAUCUCAGUUUUAAUGUUCUAAACUAAAUACAAUACUUGAAUUUCACAAUAAUUCUGGAGAAAGGACCUCAUGUUGCUAAGGCUAAAAAGCGCAAGGGUUGACUACGAGAAGAACCUGAAACCUUGCAACAAAAAAUUGGUAAACUAUGUUUCAAUCAAGUGUUUAUUUAUAGAUAGGUCGUUCACCAAUCACUGAUUUGUUGUAAUUUUAAAGAGGAAGAUGAGAAAUUCGACAAGUCAGUGCCAGAGGUUAAUGGUGGAGAUUACAAUGAGGAUGGAAGAGAGGGUUUGACAUGCUCCUCCUUAAUGCAAAGGUUUGUCUCUUCUAAUUUACUUGGUGAUAAAUUCUAGAUCUUUCAGUUCCUUCUCAUAAGCUGAUGAGCAGGUUUGUCUCCUAUAUUCCCUCAAUGAUAUCUUUUGGCGUCGAGCCUAAGGUGAUCGUAGCCACCAGCAUUAAUCCAAAAUUCGUCGGAGGCCGUCUCUUACUGAAUACAACCUCUGGCACUCAUUUCUAUUUCGACAAAGACAAACGCAAGUGAGACCUUCAUCCGAUUUGGGUGUUGGUGACGUGAUCUGCUCCACAAGUUCCACCAAAUAUGAAGGUGUGAAGAAAAUUGAAGUUGUGACGGUCUUUGAGCUUAACGCAUACGUGGUUAACUCGACCCCACAUGUUAAAUCCCUAACUGUUUCUUCUAGCAUAUGUCUCAUUACUAAUGUCCCUCACUUCCUUGCAUCACAGGUUACCGAAUUUUGUGCACCGGAAAAGGUGAGUUGAUUGAAACGGGCAGUGGCUGGUGCUACAUAUCCUGCUCUAAUGGGAUCUCUUCCUGCAUGUAGUGUGACUUAACCUCUGUUGGUGUUGUCAGGUAAGCAGACCAUUAACUACAUUUUGUGUACAUCGCACAAACCAUUUAAGCCAACCAACAUAUCCUGCUAAGACAUUUGCAACAUUUAAAACUUGAAGAUAUCGUGUGGAGCUGUGCAUUUUAGAUGGUACAGAGUCUGCAGUGUUUGUUGUUUUCUAUGCCAAAAUUUCAUGGUUGACUAAUGUACGUGCGGCGGAAAUCAGUGAACUUAUGGUAUGCUUGAGUGGCCACAUCUUAUCGCCUAGACUUUAUUUAUCAAGAAACAUGCCUUGACAGACAUUUUCUUUUUGCAGGGUGUUGGUGUGGGAGACUGUAGGGGCCGAGGUUCCACAAUUUCUGCAAAAUAUUGUUGGCAGAACGUUCACUUUCCAGUUGGAGCUAACUGAGUUAGCAUCAGACCUUCACUGUUACACGUAUCUUUGACCGCAUCAGCGUCCCCUCACAGCAACAUUUGCGAUUCAUGGUGGGCACAACUAUCCUGAUGACGAUUUGCAUGGUGACGAUAUAAGUUUCCUGCAAUUGCCUGAAGCAGAGGAUGUCUGAGAAGAUCAGAAGCCUACAUAGAAGAAGAAGAGAAAAUGUUACUUGCUCUUCAGGUUUGUACAACAGCUCAAAAGCUUAAAUGAUCAGAGUUGUGCAUAUGCUUGGUCUGAGUUCUGGAUUUUCCUGAGCAUGCUUUGCCACUGACCAGAACAUUUGACGUAAUGACCUCCACAUGAACCCCAGGGGUCCAUCUGCAGCAGAACAGCAAGUGGUGAGCUCAAUUCUGUCAGGAUCAUUGCAGAGGAACAACAGCUUCCAGGAGCUGGUUGCCCACUCAAGAAGGCUCGCACAGAGUAGUUACUCAAGUGAUCUACCUUAUAACCCUUCUAUUUCUUAGAAGCUUAAGUUCACAUUAUAUUUUUUUUCGUCGCAGGAGCUGUUAUAAAGUUACCGAUCACGUUUUUUAUAGCUUCAGUUCUAGAAAUAUAAAAAAUAUUUAUUUCACUUUAGACUAUAACAAACAAACUUAAAAAAAUAUAAGACAUUAAAAAUUCUUCCUAAAGCAUCCCUACAAUUCAACUUUCUAGAUCCCCAACAGCAUCAUACUAAUAUUUUUUUUACCAACAUCGUACUAAUACUAGCACGUAAAAAAUGAUCCAAACAAACAAAAACACCAAAACAGCCAACACAAAAAAAAUUAAAGGAUUGAACUAUUUCUUUUGGUUUAGUCUUUGAAGAAAUUUUUGUUUUACAGAAAGUAUUUGUAUAAGGUUAGAUUCAUCUUAAUUUUCAAAUUAUUAAUGGUUACACUACA